CGGCAACAGCUCAAAUUUGAAAUCUGCCCGCAAGGGCCGAGUUGUAAUUUGUAGAGGAUGCUUUUGGCGCGGUGCCUUCCGAGUUCCCUGGAACGGGACGCCAUAGAGGGUGAGAGCCCCGUACGGUUGGACACCAAGCCUUUGUAAAGCUCCUUCGAC
rnacentral:rRNA from 1 species